rnacentral:lncRNA from 1 species
GUAAGUAUUUUGGAGUAGUGUUAACCAUAUUUUUAAUGAGAAGAAAUGAUAAAGAUUAAAAUUAGAUUAUAUUCUAGUUAACAAAAGCAUAAUAGCUAUAGAAUCAGAUCUGUUUGGAUCUUAUUUGAUCUUAUAAUGGGGAUAUGGAGUGAUGUGUAGUGGCUUAGUGUUGGAACCUAGGAUGGGAUUUUAACUUAAUGAAGGGAAAAAGUAAUUGCAGUUAAAAAAAGGUAUAAUGAGGGAAAAAGCAUUACUUAAUGACCAAUAUAAACUACUUUUAAAGCUUAGUCCCAUUUAAAUUCUAUAGAAUCUAAUAAGUUACUUCUGAAAAGUCUGAUGAUCCAUCUGUUGUUUGGAAUUCUAGUGACAAUAUAUAAGUCAACUAAUAUUGCAUUGUGUGAGCAGAGCUGGUAUUGUGGUUUUUGUUUUGAUGUGUAGCUUUGUUCCUUUCUAGGACAAUGCACAAGUGAAAGUUGGUAGGUAAAGAAAUUUCCUCUUAACAAAUCUGAGAUAAAGAAACAUACCUGGUGAGCAGGAGAAAGCAGGAC